rnacentral:rRNA from 1 species
UACGUAGGGUGCAGGCGUUAAUCGGAAUUACUGGGCGUAAAGCGUGCGUAGACGGUAGCGUAAGUCAGAUGUGAAAGCCCCGGGCUCAACCUGGGAACUGCAUUGGUGACUGCAUCGCUCGAGUAUGGCAGAGGGGGGUAGAAUUCCACGUGUAGCAGUGAAAUGCGUAGAGAUGUGGAGGAAUACCGAUGGCGAAGGCAGCCCCCUGGGUCAAUACUGACGCUCAUGCACGAAAGCGUGGGGAGCAAACAGG